AUUGAACGCUGGCGACAUGCCUUACACAUGCAAGUCGAACGGCAGCACGGGUGCUUGCACCUGGUGGCGAGUGGCGAACGGGUGAGUAAUACAUCGGAACAUGUCCUGUAGUGGGGGAUAGCCCGGCGAAAGCCGGAUUAAUACCGCAUACGAUCUACGGAUGAAAGCGGGGGACCUUCGGGCCUCGCGCUAUCGGGUUGGCCGAUGGCUGAUUAGCUAGUUGGUGGGGUAAAGGCCUACCAAGGCGACGAUCAGUAGCUGGUCUGAGAGGACGACCAGUCACACUGGGACUGAGACGCGGCCCAGACUCCUACGGGAGGCAGCAGUGGGGAAUUUUGGACAAUGGGCGAAAGCCUGAUCCAGCAAUGCCGCGUGUGUGAAGAAGGCCUUCGGGUUGUAAAGCACUUUUGUCCGGAAAGAAAUCCUUGGCCCUAAUACGGUCGGGGGAUGACGGUACCGGAAGAAUAAGCACCGGCUAACUACGUG
rnacentral:rRNA from 1 species